GCUGUAGUCGGUCCCAAGGGUUGGGCUGUUCGCCCAUUAAAGCGGUACGCGAGCUGGGUUCAGAACGUCGUGAGACAGUUCGGUCCCUAUCCGUCGUGGGCGUAGGAAAUUUGAGAGGAGCUGUCCUUAGUACGAGAGGACCGGGAUGGACACACCGCUGGUGUACCAGUUGUCUUGCCAAAGGCAUCGCUGGGUAGCUAUGUGUGGACGGGAUAAGUGCUGAAAGCAUCUAAGCAUGAAGCCCCCCUCAAGAUGAGAUUUCCCAUAGCGCAAGCUAGUAAGAUCCCUGAAAGAUGAUCAGGUUGAUAGGUCAGAGGUGGAAGCGUGGCGACAUGUGUAGCUGACUGAUACUAAUCGAUCGAGGACUUAACCAAAC
rnacentral:rRNA from 2 species